rnacentral:rRNA from 3 species
AAAUUGAAGAGUUUGAUCAUGGCUCAGAUUGAACGCUGGCGGCAGGCCUAACACAUGCAAGUCGAACGGUAACAGGAAGCAGCUUGCUGCUUUGCUGACGAGUGGCGGACGGGUGAGUAAUGUCUGG